CCCUCCCCUGCUCAAGCCCUGUCUCUUUCUCUUUCUCAAAAAUAAACAUUAAAAAAAAAUUUUUUUUAAGGUACUGUGCAACCAUUAUAUUUGUAAAUUAUUUAGCACGUUUUUGUCACCUAGAAUAGCGUGCCAUACUACUCGAGGGGGCUAUCUUGCAAGUAAUACCAAGUUCCAGUGUUUGCUUCUUAGUAUUGAACUACAUUUACAGUUCUGUCCUAGACAUGUCGCACCAGUCGAAUCCAUUCGUGUGUCUUUUUGUUCACGUGCUCUGUACCACUGGUGAGUGCGCCUUGGUUUCCUUACCUGCUGCCACAGAAAGUUCUCUUACAUCCUGAUGGCUAUUGCCAAGGCUACACAAAAGAAAAGCUAUAUUUGUAUGCAACCCUAACCCUUUGAUGGCUAACCUAGGUUCCUGCUUGCUGCGCCUUGUUCCAUCUGUGUUCUUAUGCUAAUAAAGUAUGUUUGGUGUUCUCCUUGUAAAACAACAACAAACGAGUCACAUGUUGUCACUUCUGCCACAUUCUGUUCAUCAGAAACCAGUCACUAAGUCCAGCACUUUUGAAGGAAGGAGUGCAAAGGAUUUGUGAACAUAUUUUAAAACCAUCAGUUCUGCCCUGACGCACGAUCUGUAUGGACUUAUGCGAAGGUAUCCCUAGAAUAGAUUUCUAGAACUCAACAACUGGAUCAAGUGAUAUAUGCACUUUGAAUCUUGACAAUUCCUGUUUGUGGCAGAAACCGUUCAUCGUCCUCCAAUAGCCAUUGUCUCUCUUUCUCCAUUUAGCACUGGACCUCCUGACUUUUAGCUGGCACAGCUCGAGAAUGUACCUCCCAACCUCCAUUGCUGCUACGUGGAGAUGUGCGACGAAGUCCUGCCCAGUGAGAGGAACGGGUUGCUCAAAAAGCAAAUGACUCGUGGGUCACGUGAGUGGGGAAGGCCGAGGUGGAGUGACAGCGCCCUUCUAGUUCGCCCACCAGCCUCCCGCCCGAGCAGACAGGGAAUCCGUCGUGCCCGCGACGAUGCCCAUCUCAGAGUGCACGCUGUGUUCUUGCGGCCCGUGACGGCAUGGAGUGAAUCGGUUAGGAGCCUGCUUAGCUGUGAGGAAUACAGCGCCCAACGAACUGUGCCCUGAGCGAUAAAGACAUUCCCCCAAUCCACAAAGAACUACUGAGAGGUGACCCCAUGCCAGGCACCGUUGUAGGAGCUGGGGAGAGAGCAGAGAAAAGCGAACUUCCUGUUCCGGAACAAGAAGGUAGCUCCUGUGAGGGCAGGGGCUUGACUUUGCCUUGAAUACCCCGGGCACCUUUCUCCUCCAGCCCCCCCUUGUAUUGGCUUCUGCCUCGUGGUCAACAGGUGGCUUGGGAUGUCCAGGAAUCUCAGUGGAGACAGGAAGCAGGAGACACAGGUGACCAGCCAUCCCUGUUCCCUCUACCAAAAGGACACAAGCUUUCCCGGAACCCCCAGCAGAUUCUUGCUUACCGUCAUCACUGGGGAGACCCUGGGGCAGCGUGCGGCUACCUCAGAUUUUUCAUGACUAGUUAAUCUGGUUGUCAUUUAUCACCUGGGGUUGCCCAGAACAAAGUCGGGGUUUAGUCUGCAAAAGAAAAGGGGGAAAGAACAUUGGGGUCAGGCUGUCUUGUUCCCCCCUGUGGCUCUUGGGGGUCGGCAGCCACCGACAAGGUAAACACUCUGUGGUCAAAUCUUAAGUAAAUAGAGAAACAAGUUAAAAGUGGCAUUAGAUACAACCCCAGAUGAAGCAAAAAGGCUUUACUCAUUUACUGCUGUUUACUGAGCUCUUUGGCGAGCGCUCUUCAGGACGUGUGAAGGGGGAUGAAAGGCUCCAGCCUCAGGGAAUGUUCAGACCAGCUGGAGAUGACAGGCACAGGAAACAGCCUACGCCCGUGAGAGAAUGAAAAGGCUUUGGUGGGAUCUCAAUGCACAGAUAUCGAACAGAGGUCCAGAUGAGGAAACCGAGAGCAGAGACCUUGACCCUUCUGUCCACUGUUGAACUCCAGCACCCAGAAUGUCAGAGGAAGAAUGAGGAAGAGGAGGAGGAGGAGGAGUCACAGGUGCGAGGGGCCAGGAGCCCCGCCUCCUCCUGUCACCGACUGCACCCGAGACGGCACCUCUCCCGCUAGGAUGUCUCUAUUACACCUGACCUCUGCCCGUGGGAGAAAAGCCAGUGUGGGAGCAGGCUGCACGCACACAACUGGGAUGGUUCGAGUAUGGCCCCAAAUGUCCGCGGGCACGAUCAGGGAGCCUGUUUGGGGCCAUUUGCCGCAUGGCUACGGUUGGGAGGCUGGAAGUUUCCUUGAGAGUCAAGUCUCCUUCCAGCCAUCUCUGCCAUUCAGCUUGAGUAUUUUUCCCCCUGGGAAGGAUUUCCCCAUAAAAUAAAUGUCUCGUCUGAAUUAAUCUUAUUUUUCAAAGGAGGGAGUCGUCAUAUUGUAAAGACAGAUCAUAAAAAGAUGCAUCAAUCUGUCAGGAA